rnacentral:rRNA from 1 species
AGAGCUUGCUUCGAGUGGAUCAGUGGCGAACGGGUGAGUAACACGUGAGCAACCUGCCCCAGACUCUGGAAUAAGCGCUGGAAACGGCGUCUAAUACUGGAUAUGUGACGGACCUGCAUGGGUACCGUCUGGAAAGUUUUUCGGUUUGGGAUGGGCUCGCGGCCUAUCAGCUUGUUGGUGAGGUAAUGGCUCACCAAGGCGACGACGGGUAGCCGGCCUGAGAGGGCGACCGGCCACACUGGGACUGAGACACGGCCCAGACUCCUACGGGAGGCAGCAGUGGGGAAUAUUGCACAAUGGGCGAAAGCCUGAUGCAGCGACGCCGCGUGAGGGAUGACGGCCUUCGGGUUGUAAACCUCUUUCAGCAGGGAAGAAGCGAAAGUGACGGUACCUGCAGAAGAAGCACCGGCUAACUACGUGCCAGCAGCCGCGGUAAUACGUAGGGUGCGAGCGUUGUCCGGAAUUAUUGGGCGUAAAGAGCUUGUAGGCGGUUUGUCGCGUCUGCUGUGAAAAUCCGGGGCUCAACCCCGGACUUGCAGUGGGUACGGGCAGACUAGAGUGUGGUAGGGGAGACUGGAAUUCCUGGUGUAGCGGUGAAAUGCGCAGAUAUCAGGAGGAACACCGAUGGCGAAGGCAGGUCUCUGGGCCACUACUGACGCUGAGAAGCGAA